UGUUACCGUCAGCAGUUAGUGCUAUUAACACUAACCUUUUCUUCGCACCUGAAAGAGCUUUACAACCCGAGGGCCUUCUUCACUCACGCGGCAUGGCUGGAUCAGGGUUGCCCCCAUUGUCCAAAAUUCCCCA
rnacentral:rRNA from 1 species